AAAGCGUUUUCUGCUCAAAGGCUGAAACAACUGUUUAUACAGCGCGUGGUGUUUCCUUGGCUGUCCCAACACGUGGAAAAUCAAUGGAUGGAGAACACACCUUAGUGCCCUUCCCAAAACGUGGGGAUCAUCUGUUACUCACCACAGGAUAUUCUAAUCUUUUGCUGUAGUCAUGCACCUCAUUGAACGCUUAGAAGCACGUGCUUUGUCCAGGCGAACCAUUCUUCUAUUCAUCUGCAGCUUCGGAAGUUGCAUCAUAUUUUUUGACACUGGAGCCUUUUCAUAGCGCUGGGGCGGGGAGGUGGAUUUUUAAUGCUCAGUAGGCAGCAGUUCAUUGUGUCAUAAUGGGAUGCAUUUGCAUCAAAAGACAAGCCACAUUUAGCCUAAGUGGGUGGAUUCUUUGAGGUGUUUAAAUUCCUAAGAGGAAUGCAUGAUCAAGCAGAAACAACAUCCUUUCCUCUAUUAAUGAACUGAUCUGAAGCCAUCUGAUGAACUCGACACUCUUUUUGCUUCUUUCAGCUUUUCCAUUAUAUCUAUGCAAAAUGACAUGGGUACAACAUAAACAUGGUUUAUGAGGACACUUCCUGUGUCCCCAUAAAACAAAAGGCUUAGAGAACAUACAAAAUGGUGUUUUAUGAAACGUAAAAAUUGCCAGUAGUUUUCUGUAAGGGGUAGGUUUAGGUGUAGUGUGAGAAAGUUACAGUUUUUAAAACCAUUACGCCUAUGGAGAGUCCCAGAAAAAAACACAAAUGCAAGUACAGUGUGUGUGUGUGUGUGUGUGUGUUUGAAAAAUGUAUUAAAUAAGAAUUCAUCAGUUGUUUAUUGAAUUGAGGGAGGUUUUAAUGCAUUGAAUGUCACCAGAGAGAAAUCUGUCAUUUCAGCGGAAGAUAGAGUUAUAUUUUAGAAAUGAAAAUCAUACUUUUAGAUUUUUGAUUAUAUCUAUAUUUAAAAUGUAUUUUAUUAUUUAUUUAAAUAUACUUUUUAAAUGAUACUCUAGCCCAAUUCAUUGUAGUUAAAAUUGUGGGCACUCUGAACAUAUACAUUAUAGGCUAAUCAUGUCUUCAUAUACAAUGCAAAUUAUCUAUGAUUUUGCUCUAAAAAUAUGAAAUAUGCUUUAUACACUACCUAUCGCAGUGUAAAAUCAGUAGUAAACCAGGAUAUUGUGUUACAGCCA